rnacentral:rRNA from 1 species
CCUACGGGUGGCAGCAGUGAGGAAUAUUGGUCAAUGGGCGAGAGCCUGAACCAGCCAAGUCGCGUGAGGGAGUACUGCCCUAUGGGUUGUAAACCUCUUUUGUCGGGGAGCAAAAGCCGGACGUGUCCGGCUGUGCGAGUACCCGAAGCAAAAGCAUCGGCUAAAUCCGUGCCAGCAGCAGCGGUAAUUCGGAGGAUGCGAGCUUUCUCCGGAUUUAAUGGGUUUAAAGGGUGCGUAGGCGGAUUUUUAAGUCAGCGGUCAAAUCGUGGGGCUAAACCCCAUCCAGCCGUUGAAACUGGGGAUCUAGAGUGUGCGAGAGGUAUGCGGAAUGCGUGGUGUAGCGGUGAAAUGCAUAGAUAUCACGCAGAACCCCGAUUGCGAAGGCAGCAUACCGGUGCACAACUGACGCGCAGGCACGAAAGCGUGGGUAUCGAACAGGAUUAGAUACCCGAGUAGUC